UACAUGGGGUGCAAACGUUGCUCGGAAUCACUGGGCGUAAAGCGCACGUAGGCGGACUCUUAAGUCAGGGGUGAAAUCCUGGAGCUCAACUCCAGAACUGCCUUUGAUACUGGGAGUCUUGAGUUCGGGAGAGGUGAGUGGAACUGCGAGUGUAGAGGUGAAAUUCGUAGAUAUUCGGAAGAACACCAGUGGCGAAGGCGGCUCACUGGCCCGGUACUGACGCUGAGGUGCGAAAGCGUGGGGAGCAAACAGG
rnacentral:rRNA from 1 species